AAAGGAAUUGACGGGGACCCGCACAAGCGGUGGAGCAUGUGGUUUAAUUCGAAGCAACGCGAAGAACCUUACCUGGUCUUGACAUCCCGAUGCAUAAUGGGUAAUGCCAUUAGCCCUUCGGGGCAUCGGUGACAGGUGGUGCAUGGUUGUCGUCAGCUCGUGUCGUGAGAUGUUGGGUUAAGUCCCGCAACGAGCGCAACCCUUAUCUUUAGUAGCCAGCAGGUAACGCUGGGCACUCUAGAGAGACUGCCGGGGAUAACCCGGAGGAAGGUGGGGAUGACGUCAAAUCAUCAUGCCCCUUAUGACCAGGGCUACACACGUGCUACAAUGGCGUAAACAAAGGGAAGCGAAAUGGUGACAUGGAGCAAACCCCAAAAAUAACGUCCCAGUUCGGAUUGUAGUCUGCAACUCGACUACAUGAAGCCGGAAUCGCUAGUAAUCGCGAAUCAGCAUGUCGCGGUGAAUACGUUCCCGGGUCUUGUACACACCGCCCGU
rnacentral:rRNA from 1 species